rnacentral:rRNA from 1 species
UGAACGCUGGCGGCGUGCUUAACACAUGCAAGUCGAGCGAAGCACUUAGGAAAGAUUCUUCGGAUGAUUUCCUAUUUGACUGAGCGGCGGACGGGUGAGUAACGCGUGGGUAACCUGCCUCAUACAGGGGGAUAACAGUUAGAAAUGACUGCUAAUACCGCAUAAGACCACAGCACCGCAUGGUGCAGGGGUAAAAACUCCGGUGGUAUGAGAUGGACCCGCGUCUGAUUAGUUAGUUGGUGGGGUAACGGCCUACCAAGGCGACGAUCAGUAGCCGACCUGAGAGGGUGACCGGCCACAUUGGGACUGAGACACGGCCCAAACUCCUACGGGAGGCAGCAGUGGGGAAUAUUGCACAAUGGGGGAAACCCUGAUGCAGCGACGCCGCGUGAGCGAAGAAGUAUUUCGGUAUGUAAAGUUCUAUCAGCAGGGAAGAAAAUGACGGUACCUGACUAAGAAGCCCCGGCUAACUACGUGCCAGCAGCCGCGGUAAUACGUAGGGGGCAAGCGUUAUCCGGAUUUACUGGGUGUAAAGGGAGCGUAGACGGAGCAGCAAGUCUGAUGUGAAAACCCGGGGCUCAACCCCGGGACUGCAUUGGAAACUGUUGAUCUGGAGUGCCGGAGAGGUAAGCGGAAUUCCUAGUGUAGCGGUGAAAUGCGUAGAUAUUAGGAGGAACACCAGUGGCGAAGGCGGCUUACUGGACGGUAACUUGACGUUGAGGCUCGAAAGCGUGGGGAGCAAACAGGAUUAGAUACCCCUGGUAGUCCCCGCCCGUAAACGAUGACUUACUAGGUGUCCGGUGGCAAAGCCAUUCCGUGCCGCAGCUAACGCAAUAAGUAGUCCACCUGGGGAGUACGUUGGCAAGAAUGAAACUCAAAGGAAUUGACGGGGACCCGCACAAGCGGUGGAGCAUGUGGUUUAAUUUGAAGCAACGCGGAAGAACCUUGCCUGCUCUUGACAUCCCGGUGACGGCAGAGUAAUGUCUGCUUUUAUUCGGAACACCGGUGACAGGUGGUGCAUGGUUGUCGUCAGCUCGUGUCGUGAGAUGUUGGGUUAAGUCCCGCAACGAGCGCAACCCCUAUCUUCAGUAGCCAGCGGUAAGGCCGGGCACUCUGGAGAGACUGCCAGGGAUAACCUGGAGGAAGGUGGGGAUGACGUCAAAUCAUCAUGCCCCUUAUGAGCAGGGCUACACACGUGCUACAAUGGCGUAAACAAAGGGAAGCGAACCCGCGAGGGUGGGCAAAUCCCAAAAAUAACGUCUCAGUUCGGAUUGUAGUCUGCAACUCGACUACAUGAAGCUGGAAUCGCUAGUAAUCGCGAAUCAGAAUGUCGCGGUGAAUACGUUCCCGGGUCUUGUACACACCGCCCGUCACACCAUGGGAGUCAGUAACGCCCGAAGUCAGUGACCCAACCGUAAGGAGGGAGCUGCCGAAGGUGGGACCGAUAACUGGGGUG